rnacentral:rRNA from 1 species
AGGAUUAACGCUGGCGGCGUGCCUAACACAUGCAAGUCGAACGAGGUAGCAAUACCUAGUGGCAGACGGGUGAGUAACGCGUGGUCAACCUACCGUUGAGUGGGGGAUAACUAGCCGAAAGGUUAGCUAAUACCGCAUACGAGUCUCGGGGGGCAUCCCUGGGCCUUAAAAGGAGCAAUCCGCUCGAUGACGGGACCGCGUCCCAUUAGCUAGAUGGUGGGGUAAUGGCCUACCAUGGCUCCGAUGGGUAGCUGGUUUGAGAGAGCGACCAGCCACACUGGGACUGAGAAACGGCCCAGACUCCUACGGGAGGCAGCAGUGAGGAAUUUUCCGCAAUGGGCGAAAGCCUGACGGAGCGACGCCGCGUGUGGGAAGAAGGCCUUCGGGUCGUAAACCACUGUCGAAGGGGACGAUAAUGACGGUACCCUUGGAGGAAGCCCCGGCUAACUACGCGCCAGCAGCCGC